GCCGUGGGCGCUGCAAGGUGUGGCACUGGUCUGUAAAACCAGCAAUAGUGGGUUCGAUUCCCAUCCACGGCA
rnacentral:tRNA from 1 species